UAGCACUGGAGAAUCAAAACACUGGAAAUCAAAUACUUCUCCUGAAGGUGACAUUCACUUUUGAGUGGUCAGUGGGUGAAUCUGUCUGGAAGCUGCGCUUUCUCUCUCAAAUCUGACAAGACAGAUAAGCCACCCUUGUGUCAUGCUGAGAAGAGAGAGCUUGGAGAUCCUUGGGAUGUGUGAGACAGAGCAUCCUUAGAUCACGGGUUUUCAUCCGGAGUGUCAGAACUCAGCUCUGAGCAUGGACCAGCUGGAACAGGGGCCUGGUUACUCGAUGCAACAUAAGCUAGUGAGGACUGAAAUAAUACUCUCCACUGUGGUCAUCACUGCUGAACAAUUAACCAUGACCUUCAUUAAGGCCUCUGCUCUGCUGGCAAUGUUUACAACUAUUAAACUGUUAUCCCGGAAAAACGCCGCUGUCCUCCCCACUCAGCUCC